GGAGCGGGGCCUAUUGGGUCUGCGGUUACAGGCGAGAGGCUGGAUUUCGUAGGGGAAGGCCUGUAGUCCUCAGGGGAGGGUUCGAUGUUCUCAGUGAAGGGGCUGGGGCCACUGGGGAGGUUCUGGAGUCUGCAUGAAACGGGCUCGGUGUCCGCUUGGAGGGGUCGGAGCCUUGCGAGUCCGCAGGGAGGGAACAAAGCGCCCCGUGCCGUUUUGACUGCCCUCGGGCAGGAAAGGGCUGCUGUGCGAUCAGUCCCGGGGGAUGAAGGCCCUUCGUGCAGGGAGAGGAAAGGCUGUGGUUGGGGAGUCGCAAGCGGUGGUCAGCUAGUUGAGGGGAAGGUUCUGCAGACUUCUCUGCACGGUGUAGGGGCGGGUGGUAACACCAGCUCAGCAGAGCGAGGAGCCACGGCAUGGUAUCCUCCGAGGGAUGGAUGCUGGGCAUGGCACAAGGCAGAUCCUGGUAACGAAGGAUCCAAGGCGAGGGUGCCGAUUUUGGUUGUAAGUUUGUCGAGAGCUUCAGUGUACUUUAAUGAGAUUAUGAUUUCAGUGAAAUUUGUAACAUAACAUAGUGAGCUGAAGCUUGAGCAUGUGUUACAAUGAGCUGUAUCUCAACCACACAUACCGACCGCAUGGGAGUCCUGUUCAGCAUCCCUUGCUGGACAGGUUUGUGCGGAAGACCUUUAAGAGGUUUAUCUCCAUAGGUGAAAUGGAAGGAUUAGGGCCCAAAUCUGUAUUGUUUUUCCGGGGCAUUGUGAUGAAGUAUUUGUUUAUCAAACAAGACUGUCCUAAUGCUCCUUAAAAAUAUAAAAAAUAUAUAUGGUAAAACAUAAUUUUGCCACCCUCUGAUUAAAAUAAUAGCUUUUUUUUUUUCUGAGUAGAUCUACCAACUUUGUUAUGACAGCAAAUCUGGGUAUUUGGGUUUGUGGUGAAUGUUUCAAUAUUUCUAAAAAGACUAGAUGUGUUAUUAAGAUGGAGCAUUUGUCUCAUUCAUAUAAAAUGGAAAAUGCAACACAAAUUAAUUCUUUGAAAGCUUAUUAAUAUUUUUUAAGUUAAAGUGCAUCAGUAGAGUUCUGGCUUGGUCUUGAUUGCUUCAGAAGGUGAAAAUUUGCUUUUGCAGGUCCAUAGGACAUAGCAAGCAAUUAGUGAUUAAUGUGUCCUAAAGAUGCUUUCAGUCUUUGAUGACAAUAAAUAUUAAGCUCUUUGAACA
rnacentral:lncRNA from 1 species